CAGUCGAGCGGUAACAUUUCUAGCUUGGUAAAAGAUGACGAGCGGCGCACGGGUGAGUAAUGCUUGGGAACAUGCCUUGUGGUGGGGGACAACAGUUGGAAACGACUGCUAAUACCGCGUAAUGUCUACGGACCAAAGGGGGCUUCGGCUCUCGCCUUUAUAUUGGCCCAAGUGGGAUUAGCUAGUUGGUGAGGUAAUGGCUCACCAAGGCGACAAUCCCUAGCUGGUUUGAGAGGAUGAUCAGCCACACUGGGACUGAGACACGGCCCACACUCCUACGGGAGGCAGCAGUGGGGAAUAUUGCACAAUGGGCGCAAGCCUGAUGCAGCCAUGCCGCGUGUGUGAAGAAGGCCUUCGGGUUGUAAAGCACUUUCAGUCACGAGGAAAGGUUAGUAGUUAAUACCUGCUAGCUGUGACGUUACUGACAGAAAAAACACCGGCUAACUCCGUGCCAGCAGCCGCGGUAAUACGGAGGGUGCGAGCGUUAAUCGGAAUUACUGGGCGUAAAGCGUACGCACGCGGUUUGUUAAGCGAGAUGUGAAAGCCCCGGGCUCAACCUGGGAACUGCAUUUCGAACUGGCAAACUAUAGUGUGAUAGAGGGUGGUAGAAUUUCACGUGUAGCGGUGAAAUGCGUAUAGAUCUGAAGGAAUACCGAUGGCGAAGGCAGCCACCUGGGUCAACACUGACGCUCAUGUACGAAAGCGUGUGGAGAAACAGGAUUAUAUACCCUGGUAGUCCACGCCGUAAACGAUGUCUACUAGAAGCUCGGAACCUCGGUUCUGUUUUUCAAAGCUAACGCAUUAAGUAGACCGCCUGGGGAGUACGGCCGCAAGGUUAAAACUCAAAUGAAUUGACGGGGGCCCGCACAAGCGCUGGAGCAUGUGGUUUAAUUCGAUGCAACGCGA
rnacentral:rRNA from 1 species